GACUUUGAGAGUUCCGCUUAUGGCUGCAGGGUCAACCAAUUUGUUGUUGGGACCCUGGAGCUGAAUGGCUUUCCUGUCUGUCGAUCCUUGGCUCAGCCCAGAAGUACAGGAAAAGCGGAAGCUGGUUCCAGACAAACCAACGCUCUCAACUCUGAAGAGUCAGGAGUUGUUAGAGAGCCUUUUCUCAGAAAGCCUGACACCCGUGUCUUUAGUCUGGCAUCCAUGCUAGUCACUUUUAACUGGCCAAUAGGUGCCUGGUAUUUAGUCCCCAAAUUCUAAGGAAAAAUAAGACAGAAUAGCAAGCAAAAGGGGUCUGAUGGUACUCACCACUUGGUGAUAGGCGACAGUCCCAUCUGGGUCACCAAAAUAUGUCUGGAAUUGGUUCCUUCCAGUGGGUUCUUGGUCUCACUGACUUCAAGAAUGAAGCCGCGGACCCUCGCACAUGAUUGUGAGGCCUCCCCACCCACAUGGAAUGCUAUGUGAAGAUUGUGCCUGCUUCCUCUUUGCCUUCCACCAUGAUUGGAAGUUUCCUGAGACCUUCCCAGCAGCAGAAGCCUAUACAGUCUGCAGAACUGUGAGCAGAUUAAACCUCUUUUCUUAAUAAAUUACCCAGUCUCAGAGUUCCCCAGCUAUCCCCCAGUGGCUUGGAGAUUCCCAUUUCAAGAGUGUAGAGUUCUACCCAGAAGGUGGCUGCGUGGACAGUGACUACAUUCUCAGCUCCAUGCCUAUUUGGGUGAGGCCCUGUGAUGAAUGGUCAUCAGUGGAAUAUGAGCAGAAGUGUUAUGUGUCAGAAGAAGACAUGCCUUCUCCAUCCUUUCUUUUCCCCUACCCUCUGGUUUGUGUUGGUUUCCAGGGUGUCCUUGGGAGGGGUUUGGGCCAUAAUUUCAAAAGACACAGUGCUAAAUACCACAAUCCCAAAUGUUGAAAUCUGGAAAGAUCAAAAUCUCUAAAGGAAGGCACACAUUUAAGAUGGCAAAGCCACUGUGCCUUUGUCCCUAAAUAAGAGUGGGGCAACUGUGCCUUUCACCACUCUGCUGUUAACCAGUUAUACACACAAUGAACUGUUACGUUAGCAAAAAAAAUGUUUCUUGUAAAGGCCACUGAAAUUGUGGAGUUUGUCUGUUACAGUAACUAGCAGUACUCUAACUAAAAUGAGCGUCUUUCAUAAUAGAGAUGAGAAUUCAGAUUUCUACUAUUCUCUGACAAAUCUCCAUAACACUUAUUUACCAAACCACUGAUUUUAAUUGUGCUGAACGGAAAUGAUCAUGGAGAGUCACUUUUCCAAUGACCUCUCUGUCCCUUGGUUUUCCAUUGUUUAAGGUGAAUGAUAAUUUCUAUCUUUUAUUUCUAUUUGUGGUAUCCAAACAAAAUCAUCAUAAAAACUCCAUUAUGGCAUAGUUAAUUGUAAAAUAAAUAUAUAUGACCAAAAAAAUUAAAAAGACUUCCCUCUUUUAAACCUUU
rnacentral:lncRNA from 1 species